GACGAACGCUGGCGGCGUGCUUAACACAUGCAAGUCGAACGGAAAGGCCCUGCUUUUGUGGGGUGCUCGAGUGGCGAACGGGUGAGUAACACGUGAGUAACCUGCCCUUGACUUGGGGAUAACUUCAGGAAACUGGGGCUAAUACCGGAUAGGAGCUCCUGCUGCAUGGUGGGGGUUGGAAAGUUUCGGCGGUUGGGGAUGGACUCGCGGCUUAUCAGCUUGUUGGUGGGGUAGUGGCUUACCAAGGCUUUGACGGGUAGCCGGCCUGAGAGGGUGACCGGCCACAUUGGGACUGAGAUACGGCCCAGACUCCUACGGGAGGCAGCAGUGGGGAAUAUUGCACAAUGGGCGGAAGCCUGAUGCAGCAACGCCGCGUGCGGGAUGACGGCCUGCGGGUUGUAAACCGCUUUCGCCUGUGACGAAGCGUGAGUGACGGUAAUGGGUAAAGAAGCACCGGCUAACUACGUG
rnacentral:rRNA from 1 species